UGCUGCCUCGACUCGCUCCCCACCAGUACGUUAAUCUUCGUGCCUGGGGUUUUGUAGGUAAAGGUCACGUGGACAAUGCUUGGGUUCGUUGGGGAAGAUAGCACUUACAUGAAUCGUUUCGAGGUUUAGUGUCUGCUCGUUGCACGUGGCGGUGGUAGUCCUCAGCGCUUCUGUAAUUUUUGUACUUGAUGCAGCUCCACAAUCGGGAUAUACUUCCGAAGUGUUGUGCAGGCAUACCAACGAAAGUAGACCACAUCGGUCGACUCAAGUGCCGAUGGUGCUCGUACAGUUCACGAUUUGGAUCAGUCAUGCUGACACACGAGCGGAGACACACGGGUGAGAGGCCUUUUGAGUGUCAUCUGUGCCCGAAGGCGUUCUCUCAAGCUUGCAACCUGAAGAUUCACCUCCGUUCCCACACUGGAGAAAGACCCUUUAGAUGCCAGUUGUGCCCCAAAGCGUUUGCGUACAAUCAGGUUAUGAAGCAUCACAUGGACAGGCACAGAAAUAUUGGUCCGUUUCGAUGUGCACAGUGCGAUAAGUCGUUCCGCAGCAGACCCCGGCUCUUGAAGCACAAGUCAUCUUGUAGAAGGUUUAGCGGACCUUUGUAGUGUGGACCGUUCAAACCUUUGUGCCGCACAGUUAUUGCAUCAGUACUGGUAUUUGCACUGCAAUUGUGGCUGUGCACAGUCGUAUCGUGACGGUCGACAAGUGUCGUUAUAGAUAGCAAUUAAAAGUUGCAACGAAAUCCA